CUAUUCUGUGAUAUUUGCUGUGGCAGCUCUAGAAAACAUAUUCACCAGCUCUCAUGUAAAGGGGAAUAAGAUUGGUACAACAGAAAAAUGUAGUUACUGCAGGUCCUUAAAGGUUGGUCUUGAUCGAUGUUGAAUGUCUUGCCUGUCUUAUAAGAGUGUUGUAUACAGUCUGUACCCUUCCACAUGAGUGUUGUCUCAUUUUUACCGCAUUAACUCUAGAAGAUGAAUUCUGGCUUCUUAGAACAAAGGUUAUAGAAAAGGAGGAGGAUAAUCUGUGAUCUGAAUAAGCUUUUGCAGAAGUCUCAUCCAACCACUUUUUACAUCUCACCUCGAAGACAUUCUUCAUCUUGUGGUUUGUCCAAUGAGCAAGUGAGGCUGAGAGAUGUGCUUUAUAGCUGGGUACACUGCCUUCUCCAUCUACUCUUACAAAGGAGGAAAGUGAAAUGCUACAGUUUUGCCCUCGAGCCCUGACAGUUUUGCUGGUGAACAGAGCUUUGGUUGUGAAGUGGACCUCACAAUGGCUUCGCCCCAUCAUCUGAUAAGGAGACUGAAAUGACCCAGGGAAGACAGGACCCUCUCCCAGUCAGCUAUGAAAUCAUCCUAGUACUUCCACGAAAAUAUAGUUAAACAAGCAUACUCGCAGCCUACAGAAACCCAGACCAACUUUGAAAAUGAGAAUCAAAUUAUCUCAAUAAGACUCAAGUGUAUGUCUGCAAAGCAAAGUGCGGUCUUCAUCACCAAACCUCCACCAGAGCCGAGAGCAGAUGGAGCAAGCAAGUAACUAGAGAUUCUAAGAGUCAAGCCUCUGCUUUGGCUAGUGCUCUCAGUGAACCUGAUCCUGCCGCAGUUCUUAAUCAUCACAAAUGGACUAUAAUGAUCAUAAAUGCAAAUGGACGCAGAAAGCAGACAAUAGGAGCCAGGGAUUACGCAGAGUGGUUCCGGUGCCUGCCUUGCAAGCACAAGGAGUGGAGUUUGAUCCCCAGUACUGAAAAAAAAGAAAAAAAACAAAAACAAUAAAGAGUGUUACAUUAAGGAGUGGUGAAGCCUUGGGAAAUUAGCUUACUCUCAGGUUGAGAUCACUUGCCUUGCAAGAAGACUCCUCCUUGCUGGACAGCUGCAUUUUGGUAAGGAAAUUUCCUAAUUUCAAGUAAUUAUUUUACAUUUUUAGUGGAGAUGGGACAAAACAAUCUGGGUGCUAAAUCCAGCUACAGGGUUUCCAGAACAUAAAGUCUGGAUACUUUUCAAGACUUAAAAAGUCAAAAGCUACAAAAUUAGGUCAUUCACCAUUAGACCUAUAUAUAAUAACACUCUGAAGUACUUAUAAGAGAGGAAGAACGUAUCCACGUAAUGAGCAAAGGGUUUGACUAGCCAAUUUUACGACCAUAUUUUCAAUUCCAC
rnacentral:lncRNA from 1 species